UACGUAGGCAGCGAGCGUUGUUCGGAAUUACUGGGCGUAAAGAGUGUGUAGGCGGUGCUCUAAGUUCGGUGUGAAAUCUCCCGGCUUAACUGGGAGGGUGCGCCGGAAACUGGAGUGCUCGAGCGUGGGAGAGGAAAGCGGAAGUCCUGGUGUAGCGGUGAAAUGCGUAGAUAUCAGGAGGAACACCUGCGGUGUAGACGGCUUUCUGGACCAUUGCUGACGCUGAGACACGAAAGCGUGGGUAGCAAACAGG
rnacentral:rRNA from 1 species